rnacentral:lncRNA from 1 species
UUUUUUUUUGUUUGUUUGUUUUUUUCUAGAAGAGCCUAGGAAACUGGUUUAACCAAAAGCAGAACUGUGAGACACUUAUUUUGAGGAAGAAAUUAAUCAGGGGACAAGAGACUAUUUCAACAGAGAGACUGAAAUGUAAUCUUAAAGUCCUUCAAAGCCCAAAAAGCUUUGGAACACCCUCUUGGAACUCCUCCUCCUUGGAACUUCUCCUUCACAGAAUUGUCAUAGGUAUUUGUGAGUAAUGCACUUACCACACUCUACUUUGUUUUAUCAUUAUUUACUUAUCUGGGUUUAUUAGAUUCCAAUCUUGUGAAGGGAAGAUAAUACAUUCUCAUUUAUGUAUUUUCUCCCAUAUUGCCUAACAUACAAUUUCACCCAUGGUGUUUGUUCCAUAUACUGUUACAAAACUGAAUUGAAGUGUGAACUAUAUUGCUCAAACUUCAUAGAAAAAAUGUGUAAAGGCAGGCAUUUAAAAAGGCAAUGAAAGUGCAAACAGAUUUGGCAGCUCAAGAAUGAGUAUUCAUUCAAGAAAAGGGAAAUUUAUUUCUUUUCAGGUUAGACAAAUAUUUUAAUACUUAGAACUGCUUUAUACAAUAUGAUUGCUUCCUUUCAUGCAUGUAGUCACUCAUCUCACCUCUCAGGAAGAAGUACAGCAGGGCAGGUAGAAAUGGACUCGGGUUUCAAUUGUUUGAGUUUCAGCCUGAUGUCCACAACUACUGACUACUUGAUCUCUGGUAAGUGAUAUCACCAAACCUCAGCUUCCUACUGGGUAAAAUAGAAACAAUACCUAAAAUAAUACCUACUUCAUAGAGUUCUUAUGUAAGAUAAAUUAGAUAAUCCAUGCAAUGUUCUAAAUAAAUUUAGGCAUCAAUUUUAUUUGAACCUGUUCUAUUUAUAGCACUGUGCUAUUCACCGCAUGAAGUUUAAGACAUUAAGGCAUGAUCUCCUACUCAUAGGAGUUUGCAAUAUAACAAGGACCAAGACACAAAUGAAAAAUUUAUUGCAUAUGACUAAUUGCCAUAUUAAUUCAGUGGUUGCUAAGAGUUGAUAUACUUGAAUAAGGGAAGAGAAAGCAUAUGUUUACUGGGCCUUAUUAGUAUCAGAUGUUGUCCAGAAAACCAGACCUUUCUUUAGCGGUUGGAUUACUCCUGGACCCUGAGAAACAUAGAAUUUAAAAUUCUGACACUUUGACUGAAUUGGGUGAAUUAUGUGAGGGAAAAACAAUGGUUUUACAAAAAAGCAGGAAAUACUGUAAAAAUAAAUCAUUAGCUGCCUUAAAUUAGAAAUUUAAUCACUCGGUUAAUAUAAGUUAAAGAAUAACAAUAUUACUAAAAAUAACUAACAUUUAUUGAGUUCUUUCCAUAUGCCAGGGAAGCUAAGUGCUUUUCAUAUGCAUUCUCUCAUUUAUUCCUUAUAAUAGUGCUAUGAAAUAGGUGCUAUUCUUAUUCUCAUUUUCCAAAUGAUAAAAAGGAAAUUUGAAGUAAGCAAUUCACCCAAAGGUGCCAAGAUAGUGUGACUACCUACUAAGAAUCCAGUAAGAACAACACAAAUAGUUAUGAAUAGUUAUGAAGAAAGUUGGGGCAUAGUUUUCUAAUUUAUCCCGUUGACUCCCCAUAGAUAAAGCAAGAAGCUACUAGGUUCACUGUUUCCUCCUACCCAACGCUGAAGGAAAUCUUUACAGAGCAACGUUGUUCCCAUUCUGACCACUGACUUGAAAAGAACAAAAAGCAAAGAGGAAUGGCUUUCAAAAUGUAAGAUAGAGGUGAUAUGUUCCACUAAAUAUUAGCAUGAUCUGAGGUACAUUUGGAUAUCAGGAGCAACACUUACCAUUUAGGUGGCCAAAAGACCUCUCAAGAACACAGACAAACCCAGUCAUGAUAAAACAUCAGAGGUUUCAUUAACUUAGCUUAAAUAACACUGGUGUUUUCAAAAGGAGGAGCAGGUAAGUGAGGCUAAGCAAAACCCCUACACCUCUACAUCUUCUUAAAUGAAAACCUUUAAAUGAGCUCUAAUCCAUGCCAAUAUACCAAAAUAAAUUGACUUGCAUCUAAAUCUUCAGGUAAUAUAUGCAUUCUCUGUGCCUUAAGAAAACAUUAAUUAUGUCCAUGCGGUUCUAGAGUUCUUGGUGCAUGCCUGACUUAUUUAUUUUAUAGCACUUCUCACUUCUAAGUUAGCAGGUCAAAUUUAUGAGGCCAUUCAAUUGCUUUUUCCCCAGGAUGUGGUACCUCAAAGGGUUUUACUCUAAGUUUCUAAAGGCUUGAGCAUCUACUAUUAGCUUAGAAUGAUUAAAAUAGACAGUAAGCUGUGUCAUUUUAUCUUAGACAACCAUACCAUUGCAAAGAAUAAAUGUUUACUUGUCAUUAAUAUCAGAGACAACAAACCAAUAAUUUGUGUAUCCUUUGUUUCUGUCUCUGUCUCUGUCUCUCUGUCUCUCUCUCUCUUUCUCUCUCUCACACACACACACACACAUUUCUAAGAAUGCACAUCUCUCUCAUGAGUUGAUUUCAAAUUAUAUUACUUCCUAAAAAAAAUACUUCAUUCUUUUUUUUUUAAGAUUUUAUUUAUUUAUUCAUGAGAGACAGAGAGAAAGAAGCAGAAACAGGCAGACGGAGAAGCAGGCUCCAUGAAGGGAGCCUGCCGCGGGACUCAAUCCCAGGACCCCAGGAUCACGACCUGAGCUGAAGGCGGCACUAAAUCGCUGAGCCACCCAGGCUGCCCAAAGUAUUUCAUUCUUAAAUGCAAUGAAAGACCUACGUAAGAAUAUUCCUUAGUAGUUCCUUAUGCAGCCCUUUGGAGCUUCAGAAAGCAUGCUUAUGCAUUCUGUCUCGUUUUGCUGAAAAGAAACUAAAGCCCAAAGAAGUUGUGUGGCCAGUAUUUGAGAACACCUGUCACAGGUAGAACUCUAAGCUACUGCUAGCCCUGAUGGGCCUCCAAUCAUCUGACUUCACCAUUGGCUGCAAAUCCAUAGGCCACAGACCUCAUCUGACUUACAGAUGUGUUUUACAGGGUCCACACAUAAUUUUUAAAAAUUGAAUUCCUUGACAAUACUUAAAAAAAAUUCUUUUGUAGCAUAAAUAAAAUCCUUAUCUCCAGUUUGCUCUAAAAUCAGAAGAUCUGACACCACCAGGCCAGUAUAUCUAAGAGAAUAAUGGGUAGGGGCGCUCAUUGUGCCCCUGUAUUCUCUGCCUUGUUUUUGACUUUGACUUUGCCCAUUUAAUUUGUGCAGCCUCCUUGAGGCAUCUGAAUUUAGACACUGCACCAAUCAUGUAAUACAGCGAAGACUCCCAGUCCAUGGAGAAGUGUCCCCAAUGUCCUUUCAGAGAGAGAACGGAAGGCAGAACUGAAAUGUUAGAAUCAGAGUUUUAGGACUUCAAUAGACUUUUACUCAAUCUCGAUGUUUACCAUCAGGUGUUGCAGGGCUUGGGGACAAUCUUAAAAAGUCAAUUCCUUGAGGUUUACCAAUAUUAAAAUCUAAUUAACAAUGCACUAAAUUGGCUUUUUCUAAUACAAAAUCAUCUCUUUAAAAAUCUUGAUUCUAAUACUCUACAUAUUACAUCUUCCUUCAAGAUGCUCUUCUUUUAUUUAUUUAUUUUUUGACGUGGCAAUAAUUAUUUCAAGUCGCAGUAAUUAACAUUAGUUAUAGUUGCUGCUAAUCAAAUAUUUCAGUGAUAUAUGCUUUAAAGUAACACAUGAGUUUGUCUGAUAAGCUUGGGAAAAUUUAUUUACUAUGAAUAUAGUUUUGGUAUUAAAAGUAUUUCCAAACCUGAGUCUCCCGGGAGAUUAAAGAAAAGAAAUCUUUGGUGAAAAGAUUGGGAAACAUCAAUUUUUUAAUACUUCAUUUAUGGAAAACAGAAGAGAAAGCUGUGGCCUAAACAAAUUAAAAGACUUCAAUAAGAUUGCACAAUGGCCAAAGCUUAGAACUAAAAUUCUAUGCUAUAUGUUUGCUCCAGGAUACAUGAUCUGCCCAAAUUAUCUUUUUUUUUUUUUUUUAAGAUUUAUUUAUUCACCUUAGAGACAGAAAGAGACAAAGAGAAAGAGAUAGAACAUGGGGAAGGGCAGAGGGAGAUGGAGAGAGAGAAUCCCAAGCAGAUUCCCUGCCACACUUAAAGCCCUACACCAGGCUCGAUCCCACAACCCUGAGAUCAUAACCUGAACUAAUAUCAAGAAUCAGACAUUUAACCAACUGAACCACCCAGGUGCCCCUGCCCAAAUUAUUUUUCAUCAGAUUUGGGAUAUGCCAGUUCUCUCUAGUGUAGAUUAAUACAUUCACUCCCUAAGCAUUUUAUCAGAUACUGUGGCAGCCUUUAGGGGAUCGGAAACUAAUAGCUUAGAGUCCCUCUCUUCAUGUGACCUUUUCUAGUGAUGAAAGCAAACAGAGAAAUAAUAAAAUAAGGUAUCAUAGCUACCAUGACAAAAGGGGACAAGAGGAGAAAAAGAGAACACAAAGGCAGAAACAUUUUUGAACCUGUCAGGAAUGAUCAUGAGUUCAGUUUUAAGGGGAUAAAGUUUCAGGACACUAAAAUCUAAGCAAGGCAGCUAGGUAUCUGAGUAACGAUGGUAGGCAGAACUCUUUUCCCCUCACUUUUAUAUACUGGUGUCAUGUCAACAAAUACAUUCCAUGGCAAAAGGGAUCUUGAAGAUGUAAGUAAGGGUACUAAUUAUCUGACCUUAAAAUAGGUAAAUUAUCUUGGAUUAUCUAGGUAGGUCUGGUCCAAUAUAAUCAUGAAUCUUUAAAAGCAGAACUUUCUUCUGGCUAAGAGAGUAAAAAAAGUCAAAGGAAUGGCAAAAAUAGAAGCUAGAAAAGUUCCAAGAGUCACCAUCACUGGCUUGAGAUGAAGUGGGCCCCACAUCAAGGAAAUGGGAACUUCAUUCCUACAACCACCUGAACUAAAAUCCCCUAAAUUUCCCUGAUCCCCUUGGAUCAGCUUGGAAGGAGAUUCUUCCCCAGAGCUCCAGAGAGGAAUGCAGCCUUGCUGACACUUUGAUUUCAGCCUCAUGAGACUUUAAACACAGGACCCAACUUAGACUGUGCCAAGAUCCCUGACCCAUGGACACAGUGAGAUAAAAAAAUAAGCAUUCCUUUAAUUCACUAAAUUGGUACUAAAUUGUUAAGUAGUAUUAGAAUACUAAUAUGGCAUUUUAAGAAGUUUGGGGGAUAACAGAAAGGAAAAAAAAAUCUUCCUUAUUCUCUCUUGCACCUGACAAUUCAAAAAGAGAGUUAUCUAUAUGUAACUCUGAUGUGUUGGUUGAAGAUAACCAUUUAUUUAAAGUGGGGAUAGAAGUUAGAGGAAAAACUGGUAUCGAAAAGAAAACAAACACACUUAGUGGAAAGAUCCUCUAUGUACUGGGCAUUCCCAAAGAGCUUUACAUUAUUAUUUAAUCAUCAUGCCAAAGUAGUAGAACAGACACAUUAUUCCUCCCAUUUUACACAUGAGAAGACUGGGGCUGAUAGGUAUGAGUGAUAAGUCAAAGACCAACAGCUAAUCAGUGGGCAAGUCAGAGUAGGCUUUCUGAUAACUCAGGUCUUCCUGAUGAAGAAGCUUCUGUGGUUUAUUUGUAAUUCAUACAUGAGGUAUGCUGUUGUUCAGAUCAUAGUUGUCUGCAUUUAUGUGUACACAGCAAAAGUGGUCACUUUAAAGGCCUUGCUUGAAACAAUAAUCCUUGAGCUUUUGAAGAAAGCUUUUGGCAAAUAGGACUCUAAUCUGCAGGAGACGUAGCUCUCCCUGAGUAAUUAUUCCAUUUUCUCUGCAGUGAUGUCCUUAGACAAGGACACCAGGCUUCCCUGGCCCUGGCAUCACAGUAAAUUUGACCACUGCAGCAUAUGGUGCCUGAUGCUAGAAAUGUGGCCCCUCUGGAGUCCAGAAUUCAGAUUAGCAAUCCUAAAUGGGAUUCCACUGAGGAUGUCUAUGCAUUUCUAAUUUUGGUGUCGAGGGGCAAGAAUCUUCUGGCAUCUGCUCCAGGAAAUGUGUGUGUGCACUUCAUCUGGAAAGCUAAAGGGAUUUUCUCAUACUCCGGUCCAUCCUGCUCCACUGUGGUUUGCCCACAUUAAUCUUCUCACUGAUUUAUCUCUUCUCGUUCUGAACAGCUUGGAUGCUAUUGCUUCAAUUAUUUUCUUUGGGAAAUUAUUCUGUUGUCUAAUUGACCUACUAUUAAUUUUAUUUUCUAUUAUCUAAUUUAUUUCACCCCCUUCUUUCCCUCCACCCCCAAGCUUCAGGCCAUUACUUCUUAUUUCUUUCAGUUCCAUUCAAUUGCCAUUUUUUUUCUUUCUCAGGCACUAUAAUCUCUAACAUUGGCAAAUACUUACAGAGAACAUAACAUCCACAGUGAAGACAAUGAGAGGCAAAAACUUCACACUAUCUCCUCACUUCUUUCAUUGUGAAUAUUAACCUCACCUCAUUAUUAUUUAAAAAUGGCAAAUUUUCAUUUCCUGGAUUUUAUAACUCCUCGCAUUUUUAUAGCUCUCAAAUUAUCUCUCCUCUUUUUUUCCCACCCUUGCUCCUUUUUUAACUUUCCAUCCCUCUUUCUUCUCUUUUUUCUUUAUCAUUCUUUCUGGUCUU